rnacentral:tRNA from 1 species
GGAGAGGUGGCCGAGCGGUCGAAGGCGCACGCUUGGAAAGCGUGUGUGGGGCAACUCACCGGGGGUUCAAAUCCCCCUCUCUCCGCCA